AUUGAACGCUGGCGGCAUGCUUUACACAUGCAAGUCGAACGGCAGCGCGGGGCAACCUGGCGGCGAGUGGCGAACGGGUGAGUAAUAUAUCGGAACGUACCCAAGAGUGGGGGAUAACGUAGCGAAAGUUACGCUAAUACCGCAUACGAUCUAAGGAUGAAAGUGGGGGAUCGCAAGACCUCAUGCUCCUGGAGCGGCCGAUAUCUGAUUAGCUAGUUGGUGAGGUAAAGGCUCACCAAGGCGACGAUCAGUAGCUGGUCUGAGAGGACGACCAGCCACACUGGAACUGAGACACGGUCCAGACUCCUACGGGAGGCAGCAGUGGGGAAUUUUGGACAAUGGGCGCAAGCCUGAUCCAGCAAUGCCGCGUGAGUGAAGAAGGCCUUCAGGUUGUAAAGCUCUUUUGUCAGGGAAGAAACGGUAGAGGCUAAUAUCCUUUGCUAAUGACGGUACCUGAAGAAUAAGCACCGGCUAACUACGUG
rnacentral:rRNA from 1 species